rnacentral:ncRNA from 3 species
CUCUUAUCGAGAGCGGUGGAGGGACUGGCCCUGUGAAGCCGCGGCAACCGGAAAAGAACUCUUUUCGUCUAGGUGCCAAGCCCAGCCCUUUGAAGUUAAGGGGAGGAUGAGAG